rnacentral:rRNA from 1 species
UACGAAGGGGGCUAGCGUUGCUCGGAAUGACUGGGCGUAAAGGGCGCGUAGGCGGAUGGUACAGUCAGAUGUGAAAUUCCCGGGCUUAACCUGGGGGCUGCAUUUGAUACGUGCUGUCUAGAGUGAGGAAGAGGGUUGUGGAAUUCCCAGUGUAGAGGUGAAAUGCGUAGAUAUCGGGAGGAACACCUGUGGCGAAAGCGGCUCACUGGACCACAACUGACGCUGAUGCACGAAAGCUAGGGGAGCAAACAGG